CAAGCAGAGGCAGAGAGAGAUGGCUAAGACUCUUGUCAAGAACACUUUCAUCUGCAUUGUUUUCGUCACCCUUUUCAUCGCGACGACGGUCCAAGGAAAAUCUCUACACAGGGAAUGCAAGUUCUCGCUAGGGGACUUCGUCUCUUGCAGCGAUUGCAACGACAAGUGCACGCAGACGUACAGGUCUAAACGGGGAGCUUGUGAGGGCUCCUGGCCCUUCCGCCAAUGCACUUGCUACUAUGACUGCGGCUGGUGAACGUAUGCAUACGAUACAUACAUACAUAUAUAUGUGUGCGUAUGACUUCGAAGGCUUUCGUGUUGCUUGCUUUGAACAAUAAAAAAGAAAGGGCUCUUUCAAGCCUUUUUAUGAUUGUACCAAUCGAGUCUGCUGUUGCUUUCCCGUUUCUUGUUUCUUAAUAGAAUUGUGUUCGAUCCAUUGUCAUAAAGACCA